rnacentral:sRNA from 1 species
UGACAAGGCAGAGUUGCUGGCCGAUGC